rnacentral:tRNA from 1 species
GCGCCCGUAGCUCAGUUGGAUAGAGCAGCGGCCUUCUAAGCCGCGGGUCGCAGGUUCGAAUCCUGCCGGGCGUGCCA